AUGGAGGCUAGAAAUAUUCAAAUGUGCCAUGAAGUGCUGCACGAUGAACAGAUGUUACCUUCGGCUCUACCAUGCCUUAUGUAUGGUGAAAAAACUACAACCACUGGUUAAAACAGUGCAGAGUUCAAAACACCUGUAUGGCCCAGGAUGCUGGAGUUUGCAUUUACCAAAAAAUCAUUCAAAAGUAAUGCACCCAAAUGUCAAGUCACUGAACAGGAUUCAGUGUGAUUUUUUGCAAAAAAUGGCUGCAUGCAGACUAUGCUGGCAAUCAGCCUUGACGGUCACAGAGGCUACAACAUUCUGCUGUGGAUG